UACGAGGGGUGCAAGCGUUAAUCGGAAUUACUGGGCGUAAAGCGUGCGUAGGUGGUUUGUUAAGUCUGCUGUGAAAGCCCUGGGCUCAACCUGGGAAUGGCGGUGGAUACUGACAAGCUAGAGUGCGGUAGAGGAGGGUGGAAUUCCCGGUGUAGCGGUGAAAUGCGUAGAUAUGCGGAGGAACACCGAUGGCGAAGGCAAUCCCCUGGGCCUGCACUGACGCUCAUGCACGAAAGCGUGGGGAGCAAACAGG
rnacentral:rRNA from 1 species